rnacentral:lncRNA from 1 species
CAGACCCACACACCCACACUCCCCUCACAUACAUCCACACUCCCCUCACACACACGCAUUACACACUCCCCUCACGUACAUCCACACUCCCCUCACACACACUACACACACAUUACAUACACUCCCCCCACACACUCCCCUCACAUACAUUCACACUCCCCUCAUACACACACAUUACACACUCCCCCACACAGACCCACACACCCACACUCCCCUCACAUACAUCCACACUCCCCUCACACACACCACACACACAUUACAUACACUCCCCCACACACACAGACCCACACACCCACACUCCCCUCACAUACAUCCACACUCCCCUCACACACACACACACUCCCCCCCACACACAGACCCACACACCCCUCACAUACAUCCACGCUCCCUUAACACACACACACUACAUACACUCCCCCUACAUACACUCCCCUCACACACCCACAGUCCCCUCACAUACAUCCACACUCCCCUCACACAUACACACAUUACACACACUCCCCUCACACACAUCCACACUCCCCUCACACACAUCCACACUCCCCUCACACACACCACACACACAUUACAUACACUCUCCCUACACACACUCCCCUCACACACACCACACACAUAUUACACACACUUUCCUCACAUACACACUCCCCUUACACACUACACACACACACUUCCCCUACACACACCCCCACACUACACACACUCCCCUCACAUAUACAUACACUACACACUCCCCUCAGGCACACACACUACACACCACCCACACUCCCACACACACUACACACCACCCACACUCCCACACACACACCUAUCACCCACACUCCCUCCCACACACACACCACACACUCCCUUCACACACUACACACUCCCCUCACACAUUCCACACACACACCCCACACAUUACACACACUCGCCUCAUGCACACACCCCACACACUACACAUAGUCCCCUCAUACACUACACACCACACUCCUUGACACACACACACUCUCCCUACACACACAUCCACACACCCAUACCCCUCAGCACACACACACGCCCCCAUACACCUACAUACACCACACACAUUCAUUCACCACACAUACACACUCACCCCACACCCCAUACAUACAUACACACACACACACACACAAGCUGUAAAGCAGUGGGACUUUCACAUGUGAGAUGCCCACAUAAGUGCCCCUGAGAGGCAGCUGCAUCUCAACACCGCGGACCCUAAUGACCUGGCUCCCUCCC